CGUCCAUGGGAGCACCCUUCACUGUGCCUCUGAGCAUUACCUGCUGCUCCAGAGACUGCACCACCUCUCGCUGGAGGAGACACUGCGCCCUGCCCUUCUCAUCCAGGAGAUGGUCCACCUGGCAGUGCCUGGAGAGGAAAAGAUUUCUAUGCAGCUGGCUCAGCUUAGACUCUCUGGGAAGUCUCUCCUUAGUCUCAGCUCUCUUCCCCUCUGUCCCUCAGUCUCCCCCUCACAUCUGUCUGUCCCACACAUGCUCCCUCAGCAUCGACUGCUGCCAGGCCUGAGCUCACCCCUUGAGCCUGGCUGGGUGUUGGAGAUGAUGUUGGAAGGGUGGUAGGUGGAGAGUGGGCCAGACAGGUGAGAACUGGGCAUGCUGAAUUGCUGCUAAUAGGUAUGGUUAGAUAAGUAGGGAAGGGGUGUGUGUGUGUGUGUGUGUGUGUGUGUGUGUGUGUGUGUGCGUGCGCAUGCGCCCGUGUGUGCGUAUGGUGUGAAGAGCUGAAGAAAGGCAGCAGCAGCCAUCUAGAGGAGCUAGGGCUUUGGGGAUCAAUAACAUGGUGUAUUGCCAUGAGGAAUAGCAGGGCAAAGGAGUUAGAAGUGUGCAUUCUGAAGCCUGGCUGCUUGGGUUCAAGAACCCAAGUGUGAAACUUAGGAACUGAUAAGACACUUAUUUUCUUUGGCCUCAGUUCCCUUAUAUGUAAAAUGGAGGUAAGUAUCAGUUACACCAUUUUUUAUAGUAUACACCAUGAUUGUUGUGCCCCAUUAUACACACAAGGAAACUGAGGCCCAGAAGAGUUAGGUAACUUGUCCAAGGUCACACAGUUAUAGGGUGAUAAAGCUGGGAUUGAACCCUCAGGCUAAGCCUUCACCUCUCACAUUCCUACCUAUUGGGAGGAGGCCUGAGUUGAGAUCUACAGCCCAGACUUCUGCCCACAAAACACGACCCCUCUGGACUGAGGUGGGCCCAGGCCACUCACUUGAAGAAGUCCUCUGGCUCCUUGAAGACCUUCUCACAUCCAGGCCACUUGCAGACACCAUUUGCCAACAGAGGGAAGGAGCCCUGGGGCGCGGCUGAAAGGGUACUGGGGAACAGAGAGUGUCAGGGGAGGGGAGAGAGGGGCGAAAGGUCCUCUCCCGGCUGCCUACUCACCUGUCCUUCCUGGGCGCACUGGGGCUUGGGAAGGUGCAGAGCAGUGCUGGCUCCCUGGACACCCACUCUAGGCUGGCCACGUUGAUCCCUAUAGGCAGGGACAGGAUAAUGCUCUACAGCUUGUCCCCCUCCUGAGCCUUGACAUCCCGACUCCCGGGGAGCUCUGGUGUCACCACUGUCCAAAACUUCUGGCAGAGCAGCUCAAAGGCUGCUGCUGGCAAGUUGCUGACAUUUCAGCUAACUGCAAAGAUCUGUGGUUCUGUGAUUUUGACAUUCUGUCUUUAAGGUUUUGAACCUGACAUUUUUUGGAGGUUGGAGUUUCCAUGACUCUGAGACCUGAUGCCUCGGACCUCCAAAGGACUGCAUUUCACAGCAUUUGAUACUGCACAUGUUCAAGGACUUGGGGACUCAGGUUCUGUAAUGCCAUGGGGUGUGGGCUGAGGUGUUACCAGGUGGUAGGCCAGGUCGGGCCUUGAGGGAAAAGACCCCAGUGGCAGCGGUGGAUGGCGGGAGGCUGAUCAUUGCUGGGUUGUCCAGUGGGCGCACCUGUAGCACAGAGGUCCUGGCAUGGGCGUCCACAGUGGAGAGCUGCAG